ensembl:miRNA Mir351 microRNA 351
CAUGGCACCUCCGUUUCCCUGAGGAGCCCUUUGAGCCUGGAGUGAAAAAAAAAACAGGUCAAGAGGCGCCUGGGAACUGGAGAAGAGUGUUAAACUUC